rnacentral:rRNA from 1 species
CAGCAGCCGCGGUAAUACGUAGGGUGCAAGCGUUAAUCGGAAUUACUGGGCGUAAAGCGUGCGCAGGCGGUUAUAUAAGACAGAUGUGAAAUCCCCGGGCUCAACCUGGGAACUGCAUUUGUGACUGUAUAGCUAGAGUACGGCAGAGGGGGAUGGAAUUCCGCGUGUAGCAGUGAAAUGCGUAGAUAUGCGGAGGAACACCGAUGGCGAAGGCAAUCCCCUGGGCCUGUACUGACGCUGAUGCACGAAAGCUAGGGGAGCAAACAGGAUUAGAUACCCCCGUAGUCCCUGUCUCUUAUAC